rnacentral:rRNA from 1 species
CGCUGGCGGCGUGCUUAACACAUGCAAGUCGAGCGGAAAGGCCCUUCGGGGGUACUCGAGCGGCGAACGGGUGAGUAACACGUGAGUAAUCUGCCCUUGGCUUUGGGAUAACUACCGGAAACGGUGGCUAAUACCGGAUACGACGCACUCAGGCAUCUGAUGUGUGUGGAAAGUUUUUUCGGCCAGGGAUGUGCUCGCGGCCUAUCAGCUUGUUGGUGGGGUAAUGGCCUACCAAGGCUUCGACGGGUAGCCGGCCUGAGAGGGUGACCGGCCACACUGGGACUGAGACACGGCCCAGACUCCUACGGGAGGCAGCAGUGGGGAAUAUUGGACAAUGGGCGGAAGCCUGAUCCAGCAACGCCGCGUGAGGGAUGACGGCCUUCGGGUUGUAAACCUCUUUCAGUACCGACGAAGCGCCGAUGAUGGUGGUGACGGUAGGUACAGAAGAAGCACCGGCCAACUACGUG